UACGUAGGGGCCUAGCGUUGUCCGGAUUUAUUGGGCGUAAAGAGCUCGUAGGCGGUUCGGUAAGUCAGGUGUGAAAUCUCCACGCUCAACGUGGAGGCGCCACCUGAAACUGCCGUGACUCGAGUCCGGUAGGGGAGUGUGGAAUUCCCGGUGUGAGCGGUGAAAUGCGUAGAUAUCGAGAGGAACACCUGCGGCGAAGGCGGGUAGCUGGGCCGACACUGACGCUGAGGCGCGAAAGCCAGGGGAGCGAACGGG
rnacentral:rRNA from 1 species